ACGGAAGGCAGCAGUGAGGAAUAUUGGUCAAUGGGCGGAAGCCUGAACCAGCCAAGUCGCGUGAAGGAUGAAGGUAUUAUGUAUUGUAAACUUCUUUAGCAGCAGAGUAAUAAGGGGGUCGUGACCCCCGAUGCAAGUAUGCUGAAAAUAAGGAUCGGCUAACUCCGUGCCAGCAGCCGCGGUAAUACGGAGGAUCCGAGCGUUAUCCGGAUUUAUUGGGUUUAAAGGGUGCGCAGGCGGUUUUUUAAGUCAGUGGUUAAAUCGUGAGGCUCAACCUCAUCACGCCAUUGAUACUGGAAGACUUGAUUGCGGUUGAGGUUGGCGGAAUUCGUCGUGUAGCGGUGAAAUGCAUAGAUAUGACGAAGAACACCGAUUGCGUAGGCAGCUGACCAAGCCGUAAAUGACGCUCAUGCACGAAAGUGCGGGGAUCAAACAGGAUUAGAUACCCUGGUA
rnacentral:rRNA from 1 species